UUAAAGCCCUUCCCGUCGUCGCGCUGCAAGUUUGAAGGCACCAAAGAGCUACAAAAUACAAAUAAGUGUGUCGUGAUACAUUAGCAAAUAGAGCUAUUUUAGUUUCACAUUCCGGCUAAACAAUUGUGUAAAACAACGCCUUUUAAAAAGUUCCUUUUGAACGCGACACGACGAGGCUUACGUUAACAUCUCGCGAGGAUUCAACAGUAAGCAAACAAACGACCAAAAUCUCUUUUUGUCCAUGUUUGUUUUCGCUUUUGGCAGUCGACGCAACACCAACACUCAAACGAGUAAUUCCAAAGACAUGACAAUGCUGCUUCAACAUCGAGCUAUUGUGUCACUCGGCCUCCGGAUGUUUUCCACUCGUGCGACCGGAGGACCUUUGGCGGACGUGACGAGUUCCAGCUCAGACAUGUCAGAAUUCCGAAAGGCCUUUUCCAAAGCCAAGCACAUAGCAAUCAUCACCGGGGCCGGCGUGAGCGCUGAGAGCGGCGUGCCGACAUUCCGGGGCGAACAUGAAAAAUGGAGGAAAUGGCAAUCACAAGACCUAGCUUCACCAGAGGCUUUUUCCCGCUACCCGUCACGUGUCUGGGAGUUCUACCAUCACAGGCGAGAGGUGGCGCUGAGCAAGAAGCCCAACGCAGCGCACGUGGCCAUUGCGGAGUGCGAGGCCCGACUGAAAAAGCAGCGCCGCGAAGUGGUGGUCAUCACGCAGUGCAUCGACGACCUUCACCAGCAGGCCGGCUCCAAACACGUGCUCAGGAUUCACGGCAGCCUGACGGAGACACGUUGCCUGAGUUGUGGCGACGUGAACGUCAACAAGCGCAGCCCCAUAUGUGCGGCCCUCAAGGACAAGGGGUCACCUGACCCCAAUACGGCCGAUGCUAACAUUCCAGUGGAUAGACUGCCAAGGUGUUCCGAAAGCGAUUGCAACGGUCUGCUGAGGCCUAACGUGGUGUUUUUCGGGGAGACGCUGGACUCUCACCUCCUGACCAAGGUGGAAAAAGAGCUGGAAAUCUGUGAUCUUUGUCUGGUGGUGGGCACGUCAUCAAUCGUCUACCCGGCAGCCAUGUUCGGCCCCCAGGUGGCAUCCAGAGGCGUCCCGGUGGCGGAAUUUAACCUUCGAGCAACACCUAAGUCCGAGUACUUCACGUACCACUUCCAGGGUCCGUGUGGAACGACGCUACCUGCAGCCUUGGCACGGCACCAGUCCGAGGUUGUCUAAAAGCGCCCGCGGGAGGAGGACCACCGGUGGCUUCAUCUACGGGGCAAAAGAAGAGCCCUGACUUAAACCCAAAUGAGCAUCUCUGGAAAGACCUGAAAAUGGCUGCCCACCCACGUUCACCAUCCAACCUGACUGAACUGGAGAGGAUCUGCAAGGAGGAAUGGCAGACGAUCCCCAAAUCCAGGUGUGAAAAACUUGUUGCAUCAUUCCCACAAAGACUCAUGGCUGUGUUCGCUCAAAAGGGGGCUUCUACUGAAUACCGAGCAAAAGGUCUGAAUACUUAUGGCUGUGUGAUAUUUCCGUUUUUCUUUUUUAAUCCAUCUGCAAACAUUUAAACUAUUAUGUUUUUUUCUGUCAAUAUGGGGAGCUGUGUGUACAUUAAUGUGGAAAAAAAAGAACUUUAUGUGUGUAUAUAUAUAUAUAUAUAUAUAUGGGAAUUGUUAUGUGUUGUGUGAUGCACGCCUGACGUGACCUUGCCUCGCCGCCCGUGAGCUGUCAAGUAGUCUAUUAAAAGAUGAGUUACGUCGGAAUCGCGGACUUUGCAGGUUGAGGCCGCAUGAGCCGAUGCCGGGAGCGGAAAGGUAAGAUGGAUUUCCUUCCCUGCGUUUUAUUCGCUAAUUGUGUGUGUUUCUGUUUUCAGAUGUGCUUUCAAGCCUAAAGGAGACAUGCUUUUUUUCACAAUUUAAUAUUUUUCCAGCUCUCUUGUCUGUUAUCUGCUUUUGUCCAAAUACCCCAAGGAUCAAGAGGUAAAAGACACUUUACACACCCUGGCUCUUGCUUGCUGAAAUUAGACUGUUUGAGGACGUCCCACCCUGUACACUGCUGGCCUAACGCAGAGUCGGACCCGCGCAAGUGGCAAAGCGGGGAAGAGAAGGGAGGAGGGGGCAACAGAAGGCACGAGAGCGUCGUCGUUGCGUGGCCGGACUUGUGCGUGGACCAUCCAUCUGUCAACUUUGUUCCUCCCUCAGCCUGUGAAUGCAUACUGACUAAUCUUCCUGUGGUAAUGAAUGAAACCAGAGCCGAUGGUGGCGGCGCUUCUGCCAACAACUGCCAACAAAGACGCAUGUGCGCAUGCUGUCUGUCCCUUGUUUGCGGUACACUGGUAUCUUCGCAAAUGAGCUGCUCUUAUAAACCUGACACUUGGGAACCCGAACCCGUAUCUCUUUUUAUAUCAAGACCAUUUCUUACAUUUUUUUCGGGACAGUUUUGAACAGCACAUGUUUUUAAUACGAUUUGAAUAAGAUGUAUUAUACUGCCCCUUGUGGCCAAGGCGCACAAACAAGGAACUGCGUGAUAAAUGUAUGAAAUGAG